rnacentral:rRNA from 1 species
GGGGGAUAACAGCUGGAAACGGCUGCUAAUACCGCAUAAGCGCACGAGGAGACAUCUCCUUGUGUGAAAAACUCCGGUGGUACAGGAUGGGCCCGCGUCUGAUUAGCUGGUUGGCAGGGUAACGGCCUACCAAGGCAACGAUCAGUAGCCGGUCUGAGAGGAUGAACGGCCACAUUGGAACUGAGACACGGUCCAAACUCCUACGGGAGGCAGCAGUGGGGAAUAUUGCACAAUGGGGGAAACCCUGAUGCAGCAACGCCGCGUGAGUGAAGAAGUAUUUCGGUAUGUAAAGCUCUAUCAGCAGGGAAGAUAAUGACGGUACCUGACUAAGAAGCUCCGGCUAAAUACGUGCCAGCAGCCGCGGUAAUACGUAUGGAGCAAGCGUUAUCCGGAUUUACUGGGUGUAAAGGGUGCGUAGGUGGCAGUGCAAGUCAGAUGUGAAAGGCCGGGGCUCAACCCCGGAGCUGCAUUUGAAACUGCAUAGCUAGAGUACAGGAGAGGCAGGCGGAAUUCCUAGUGUAGCGGUGAAAUGCGUAGAUAUUAGGAGGAACACCAGUGGCGAAGGCGGCCUGCUGGACUGUUACUGACACUG